AGCGGCGGAUGGGUGAGUAACACGUGGGGAACCUGCCCCUAAGCCUGGGAUACCAUUUGGAAACAGGUGCUAAUACCGGAUAAUAAAGCAGAUCGCAUGAUCAGCUUUUGAAAGGCGGCGUAAGCUGUCGCUAAGGGAUGGCCCCGCGGUGCAUUAGCUAGUUGGUAAGGUAACGGCUUACCAAGGCGACGAUGCAUAGCCGAGUUGAGAGACUGAUCGGCCACAUUGGGACUGAGACACGGCCCAAACUCCUACGGGAGGCAGCAGUAGGGAAUCUUCCACAAUGGACGCAAGUCUGAUGGAGCAACGCCGCGUGAGUGAAGAAGGUUUUCGGAUCGUAAAGCUCUGUUGUUGGUGAAGAAGGAUAGAGGUAGUAACUGGCCUUUAUUUGACGGUAAUCAACCAGAAAGUCACGGCUAACUACGUGCCAGCAGCCGCGGUAAUACGUAGGUGGCAAGCGUUGUCCGGAUUUAUUGGGCGUAAAGCGAGCGCAGGCGGAAAAAUAAGUCUAAUGUGAAAGCCCUCGGCUUAACCGAGGAACUGCAUCGGAAACUGUUUUUCUUGAGUGCAGAAGAGGAGAGUGGAACUCCAUGUGUAGCGGUGGAAUGCGUAGAUAUAUGGAAGAACACCAGUGGCGAAGGCGGCUCUCUGGUCUGCAACUGACGCUGAGGCUCGAAAGCAUGGGUAGCGAACAGGAUUAGAUACCCUGGUAGUCCAUGCCGUAAACGAUGAGUGCUAAGUGU
rnacentral:rRNA from 1 species